CAAUUUUAAUGUAAUUAGGUAUUAAAUAAAUUUUAAUAUGCAAUAAAGAAUACACAGUAAGGUUAAAUGCUUUAGAAUGUAGUGAAGUAAACAUUUUCUUUUCCCAAUACAAACAUUCUAAUAAAGCACAGAUGCUUGGAAAAUGUAACUAAGUAUUGUCCACCUCUGCUAUCAAGUCCAACUAAAUCCAAUUUAAGCUGAUAAUAUUCAGUUUUACUAGCAUUUGCGCCGCUAUGAAAACCAGCAAUUUUGUUGCACGUUUUGCCACUCAACCAGGCGAGCUCUCACGUGUUCACAUGGAAAAGUGACAUCAAUGCAUACCCUCUAUAGGACGAGUGGGGAACCCUGGUCCAACCCUAAUCAAACACACCUGAAUUUCAUUUACAAGUGAUCCUAAAGACUUUAUUUUUAUUUUUCAGGUGUGUUUUAUUAGGGUUGGAACUAAACUCUCCAGGACAGUGGCCCUCCAGGACCAGGGUUCCUCACCCCUGCUGUAUAGCAAAACAUGGGAUUUCCAAAUAUAAAUCAUUUUGAUCCAGAUUUAACUUUUUAAACAACAGCCCCCUACAGAUUUUAGCUCCAACCCUAUUCAAACACAGCUGCUAAUUGAGGUGUUCAGGGUUGCUUAAUAAUUACAGACAGGUGUUGGAGCUGGAUGCAACUGAGGUCUGCAGGACGGUAGCUCUCCAGGAACAGGGUUGGACACCUGUGUUUUAUUCAGUCUUUGGUUCCUGCAGUCAAUGAGUUUGACUGAACACCUCUUCAGGAUCUGCUGCUGUUCUCCAGCGUCACAGACAGAAUCCAGAGACUUGGUGGAGGUUUGAUCAGUAGAUUCCUCAUCCUGUAAGACCUGAUGAUUACUGUCACACACAGCUGUGUCCUCCUGAUCGUCUGUGGGCUUUGACUCCGUUUAACAGAGUAAAGUGAGACUGAUCUCGGAGUCCUGUGUGUGUCUGGAUUUCUCUUCAGAGAGUUCAGAGUCCAGCUGUGGUGUGGGCUGAUCUCCGCUGAUCCACGCUGAAUCAAGACAUUCACUGGAGCUUCCAUCAUCAUCAGUUACAUCCACUGAAGAUUCACGACAAACCACUUCCUGACAACACACACGCACACCGUGAGAUUAUAAAUGAUAUUUGAUGAUUGAGUGAUGCAAGUAAACUAUACAGACCUCUCGGUUCAGUCCUUCAUCUCCUCUUAACCUCAGCUUCGCCUCCAGUAACGCCACCUCUUUCUUUAGAUGAGAGAUUUCUGCGAUGAACUCAUCAAUAUCAAGCAUGGACAGAUCAGUUCCUACUGAUUUACAGCACAUGUAAACUCUCAUCGUCAACAUCUUAACACUAAAAUACACGGUGACGAGUAUAUGUUUACACUGAAUAAAACACUAAAAUCAUUGAAAUAAAACUGAUGUAAAACACGCA